rnacentral:lncRNA from 1 species
UUUCACGUCGCAGCGCCCUAGAAUUAGACGUUUUAUGGGAAUUUAAAAAAGAAAAAGAAAAAAAAAAGAUCGACCUUUGCCUUCGGAUAACCAAUAAUGCGUCAGAUGCUAAACAAAAUCGACGUUUAUUGUUGGAUUUAAAUAAGAAAGAAUUAAACAAAAAAGACACUUGGGAAGUUUGGAGAAAUUGACGUCAACCUCUUCGUUUCUAGCACCAAACUACAUUUUCCCAUAUCACUUAAGUAGACGUCCUUUUAUUAUUAAAGCCCAUAUCAGC